rnacentral:rRNA from 1 species
UGGGGAAUUUUGGACAAUGGGCGAAAGCCUGAUCCAGCAAUGCCGCGUGUGUGAAGAAGGCCUUCGGGUUGUAAAGCACUUUUGUCCGGAAAGAAAUGGCUCUGGUUAAUACCUGGGGUCGAUGACGGUACCGGAAGAAUAAGGACCGGCUAACUACGUGCCAGCAGCCGCGGUAAUACGUAGGGUCCAAGCGUUAAUCGGAAUUACUGGGCGUAAAGCGUGCGCAGGCGGUUGUGCAAGACCGAUGUGAAAUCCCCGAGCUUAACUUGGGAAUUGCAUUGGUGACUACACGGCUAGAGUGUGUCAGAGGGGGGUAGAAUUCCACGUGUAGCAGUGAAAUGCGUAGAGAUGUGGAGGAAUACCGAUGGCGAAGGCAGCCCCCUGGGAUAACACUGACGCUCAUGCACGAAAGCGUGGGGAGCAAACAGG